UAUAUAUACAAUCUCCAUGCGCAAACUACCAUGAUAGCUUAUCAACGUUUGUGUUAUCAUUCGUUAGUCUGCAUGCAAUGAGCGGUUGCCGAAUUGUGAAGAAUUGUUACUUGUGAGCAUCGAGAUUAAGAAUACAUCUCGAUGAUUGUGAGUAAUGUAUGUUUCGUGACCUGUGUUGUUUUUAUCGAAUAUAUAAAUAGUUUUUCAAUUUAUAAUUAUUGUCUUAUUGUAUUAUAUUUUAUUAUUUUAUUAUUCAAGCAUAGACCUUGAAGUAGUACCAGUACUAGUAUAUUAAAUAUGUGUUAAUAUAUUAUGUUGCAAGAAAAAUCAGAUUUUACAAAAAUGAAUAUAGCACUUAUUUAUUUAAGGUUGAAAACUUCAAUGGCAUUAUCGGAUAACGUGAUAAAUAGUUUCAUAGAUCCAUGCCACAUCGAGCAACCAAAAAGCAAUAUCGUCAUCCAAUUAUCUACCCUAGCUGCACUGGUAUACAUUUAACGUUACAAUCUAUCGUAAGAAGGGACCAGUGGAAACAUGUUUCACAAAACAGAAUUCAUGUGUAACGUGCCUUCUGUAGAAAAUCAAGUCAUGUGCAGACUACCAUUUGUAGGAACAAUUAUUGAUGGACUAUUCAGAGGGGAGGGCCACUUUCAAUGUCCACAAUGUGAAAAAUCAUAUGUACACUUACGUAAUUUACACAGGCAUUUAAAAAACGAAUGCGGAAUCGAACCAUCUUAUCAAUGUCCAAUGUGUCCAAAAAAAUGUCGGUAUAAGUUCACAUUGAAAGCACAUAUUUAUGGAAAACACUCAACAGCACAAACUAUGUCAAUAUGAUAAAAGAGUUCCCGUUGAUUUCAGUUGGAUAUUAUUAGUUUCCUAUAAACUUGAUAACAAUUUAAAAUUUUGAAAUCGAGUUGUAUUUAUAAUAUUUGUAUUUUAUGUUCAGCAUUUAUUUAUUUUUCCUACUGUUAUAUAUGUAUAGUAGUACAAUUGUAAUGAAUUAGUAAUAUUAAGUUACUUUGAAAUAUUUGUUACUGAUUGAACAAAAUGAUUAAAUAAACUAUUUUAAUUAAAAACUAAA